AGUGAACGCUGGCGGUAGGCCUAACACAUGCAAGUCGAACGGCAGCACAGUAAGAGCUUGCUCUUACGGGUGGCGAGUGGCGGACGGGUGAGGAAUACAUCGGAAUCUACUUUUUCGUGGGGGAUAACGUAGGGAAACUUACGCUAAUACCGCAUACGACCUACGGGUGAAAGCAGGGGAUCUUCGUACCUUGCGCGAUUGAAUGAGCCGAUGUCGGAUUAGCUAGUUGGCGGGGUAAAGGCCCACCAAGGCGACGAUCCGUAGCUGGUCUGAGAGGAUGAUCAGCCACACUGGAACUGAGACACGGUCCAGACUCCUACGGGAGGCAGCAGUGGGGAAUAUUGGACAAUGGGCGCAAGCCUGAUCCAGACAUACCGCGUGGGUGAAGAAGGCCUUCGGGUUGUAAAGCCCUUUUGUUGGGAAAGAAAAGCAGCAGGUUAAUACCCCGCUGUUCCGACGGUACCCAAAGAAUAAGCACCGGCUAACUUCGUG
rnacentral:rRNA from 1 species